UAAUCAGAGCCUCAGCCUCCCAAUUCAACCACUCUCCCUCUCUCUCCCCCCCCUUCCCUCUCCCCCCUCUACGACAGAGAGGUUGACGAGGUUUCCGCGCUCGCUUGCUCCUUGAUUGUAAUCUAUCCGGUUCAUUUCGGGUGAACAACAUGAGACGCUCAGCCAUUAAAGCAGCUAAUAAAGAGUUGGAACGUAUUGAUGCGGUCUUUAUCUCAUAUGAAAAUGCGUCUUCUGGUUUGAUUGACCCAGAGGGAAUCGAACGUCUUUGUUCAGAUUUGGAAGUUGAACAUACCGAUGUAAGGGUCUUGAUGCUUGCCUGGAAAAUGAAAGCUGAAAAACAAGGAUACUUUACCUUGGAAGAGUGGCGAGUAGGUCUUAAAGGACUAAGGGUGGACAAUGUAAAUAAAUUAAAGAAGGCACUUCCAGAGCUAGAGAAAGAGGUCGGGAGGCCAUCAAACUUUGUGGAUUUCUAUUCCUAUGCAUUCGAAUAUUGUUUAACAGAGGAGAAACAGAAGAGCAUAGAUAUAGACAGCAUAUGCGAGUUAUUAAAUAUUGUUUUAGGAUCUCAAUACCAUUCGCAGGUUGACUUAUUUACUCAGUAUCUAAAGAUCCAGAAUGAUUACAAAGUCAUAAAUAUGGAUCAAUGGAUGGGCUUUUACCGGUUUUGCAAUGAGAUAAGUUUUCCAGACCUUAGCAACUACGACCCUGAACUUGCAUGGCCUUUGAUCCUUGACAAUUUUGUUGACUGGAUACAAGAAAAGUAGAGCCAGAGCUGAUAAUUUUCGGUGAACCUGAGCCUCUGCUGUAAACCCUACAAUUCUUGGACAGUUAGACACAAUCAAAUGGUCUCAGGACUUUAUUUUUCUUCAUUUUAUUCUUUUGCAAAUAUAGGAUUUACCUUUGGAAAUUGCAUGUUUGUGAUAUGUAUAUAGUUUUGAAAAUCUCGUUGAAUGUUAUAGCUUAUAGCACAGCUUCCAUAGUUUAUUCUGUUGAAUGUCCAACUAAUGCUGUAAGUUACUUGAGUUGAUCAAGUUGAAGCCAUUGAAUUAUGUUAUUUUAGUGUGAAGAGAUUUUAUCA